rnacentral:rRNA from 1 species
UACGUAGGGUGCAAGCGUUAAUCGGAAUUACUGGGCGUAAAGUGUGCGCAGGUGGCCGCGCAUGUCGAGUGUGAAAUCCCCGGGCUUAACUUGGGAAUUGCGCUCGAAACUACGUGGCUCGAGUGUGGCAGAGGAAGGUGGAAUUCCACGUGUAGCGGUGAAAUGCGUAGAGAAUGUGGAGGAACACCGAUGGCGAAGGCAGCCUCUGGGCCAA